rnacentral:rRNA from 1 species
UACGGGGGGGGCAAGCGUUGUUCGGAAUUACUGGGCGUAAAGGGCUCGUAGGCGGCCAACUAAGUCGGACGUGAAAUCCCCAGGCUCAACCUGGGAACUGCGUCCGAUACUGGCGGGCUUGAAUCCGGGAGAGGGAUGCGGAAUUCCAGGUGUAGCGGUGAAAUGCGUAGAUAUCUGGAGGAACACCGGUGGCGAAGGCGGCAUCCUGGACCGGCAUUGACGCUGAGGCGCGAAAGCUAGGGGAGCAAACGGG